GCCCGCUCAGAAACUACAAAGGAAUUGACGGGGCCCGGCACAAGCGUGGAGCAUGUGGUUAAUUCGAUGCAACGCGAAGAACCUUACCUGGUCUUGACAUCCCGGAGACCCUUAGGAAACUAGGGGGUGCUUCCACCUGGAAGAAUCUGGAGACAGGUGCUGCAUGGCUGUCGUCAGCUCGUGUCGUGAGAUGUUGGGUUAAGUCCCGCAACGAGCGCAACCCUUGCCUUUAGUUGCCAGCAGUUCGGCUGGGCACUCUAAAGGGACUGCCGGUGUUAAACCGGAGGAAGGUGGGGAUGACGUCAAGUCCUCAUGGCCUUUAUGACCAGGGCUACACACGUACUACAAUGGCCGAUACAAAGGGCAGCGACACUGCGAGGUGAAGCCAAUCCCGUAAAAUCGGUCUCAGUCCGGAUUGGAGUCUGCAACUCGACUCCAUGAAGUUGGAAUCGCUAGUAAUCGUGGAUCAGCAUGCCACGGUGAAUACGUUCCCGGGCCUU
rnacentral:rRNA from 1 species